rnacentral:rRNA from 1 species
GAUGAACGCUGGCGGCGUGCCUAAUACAUGCAAGUCGAACGAAGCCUUCGGGCUUAGUGGCGAACGGGUGAGUAACACGUUGGUACCUACCCUCUAGUGGGGAAUAACUGGCCGAAAGGUCGGCUAAUACCGCAUAAUACCGCAAGGUUAAAGCAGCAUGCGCUAGAGGAGGGGCCUGCGGCCCAUUAGCUUGUUGGUAGUGUAAUGGACUACCAAGGCGACGAUGGGUAGCUGGAUCGAGAGGUUGACCAGCCACACUGGGACUGAGAUACGGCCCAGACUCCUACGGGAGGCAGCAGUAAGGAAUCUUCCACAAUGGACGAAAGUCUGAUGGAGCAACGCCGCGUGCAGGAUGACGGCCUUCGGGUUGUAAACUGCUUUUAUAUGGGAAGAUUAUGACGGUACCAUAUGAAUAAGGACCGGCUAACUACGUGCCAGCCGCCGCCGUAA